UAGGCCCGUAGGGUAGGGUGAGACAUGGAGGAUGACCCUCAUCUUCAGAGAUCGCCAUGGGGGCUUUUCCCUUAUCAGUGGCUCUCAGCAACUGAGCCAUCUCAGUCAUCAUAUUCCUCUGAGCCUCUAGCAUUUGCUCUCUCAGGUCGUUUUGCAUCUUGGCCAAUUGCUCUUACAAUUGGUCCUACAUGUCCUUUUGUAGCUGUUCAAACCUUUGAUCCAUAUUCCUAGAUUUUGCACAAGUUCCG
rnacentral:lncRNA from 1 species